UAGGGAAUCUUCGGCAAUGGACGGAAGUCUGACCGAGCAACGCCGCGUGAGUGAAGAAGGUUUUCGGAUCGUAAAGCUCUGUUGUUAGAGAAGAACGUUGGUAGGAGUGGAAAAUCUACCAAGUGACGGUAACUAACCAGAAAGGGACGGCUAACUACGUGCCAGCAGCCGCGGUAAUACGUAGGUCCCGAGCGUUGUCCGGUUUUAUUGGGCAUAAAGCGAGCGCAGGCGGUUCUUUAAGUCUGAAGUUAAAGGCAGUGGCUUAACCAUUGUACGCUUUGGAAACUGGAGGACUUGAGUGCAGAAGGGGGGAGUGGAAUUCCAGGUGUAGCGGUGAAAUGCGUAGAUAUAUGGAGGAACACCGGUGGCGAAAGCGGCUCUCUGGUCUGUAACUGACGCGGAGGCUCGAAAGCGUGGGGAGCAAACAGG
rnacentral:rRNA from 1 species